UGAGAAGAAAACACUCUCAGCUCUCCUC
rnacentral:piRNA from 1 species